rnacentral:rRNA from 1 species
CUACGGGAUGCAGCAGUCGAGAAUCUUCCGCAAUGGACGAAAGUCUGACGGAGCGACGCCGCGUGCGGGAUGAAGGCCUUCGGGUUGUAAACCGCUGUCAGUGGGGAGGAAAUGCAUCAGGGUUCUCCCUGGUGUUUGACCGAUCCGCAGAGGAAGCGCAGGCUAAGUUCGUGCCAGCAGCCGCGGUAACACGAACUGCGCGAACGUUAUUCGGAAUCACUGGGCUUAAAGAGUUCGUAGGCGGCCUUUCAAGUCGGGUGUGAAAUCCCUCGGCUCAACCGAGGAAUUGCGCCUGUACUGUUGGGCUUGAGGGAGAUAGGGGUGAGCGGAACUGAUGGUGGAGCGGUGAAAUGCGUUGAUAUCAUCAGGAACACCGGUGGCGAAGGCGGCUCACUGGAUCUCUUCUGACGCUGAGGAACGAAAGCUAGGGGAGCGAACGGGAUUAGAUACCCGCGUAGUC